AUAAACUGGCCCUUCCUCUGCGAUCUCCCGAGCUUUGAUUACACAUCUCCAGAACUGUGUGGCCACUGCAAUAAAUGAAGUAGAUGCCCCCGUUCGCUCUUUCAAACCUAUAAUUUUCUCUCCUGUAAAACAAAUGGUUGAUUCGCAUGAACUUGUAAAUCUGCGCCCCGUUAAUCCCUUGAUGAGCUUCGUAAGAUAUUCCUACCGUUGUCUCGUGUUCUGGUUUGAACAUUGUCCUAAUGUGGAGCGGGGGUUUUGAAAUAGGUCAUUGAAAGGUAUAUCCAUUGACGCUUCCACAAAUUCCACUCCGCCAUCGUUGCAGUCAAUCUCUGGUCGGCCUGAUAUUUCACCAAUGACUAGCUGUCCUGCAAAUGGAUAGAAAUGAACCAGAACCGAAGAG